AGAGUUUGAUCCUGGCUCAGGAUGAACGCUAGCGGGAGGCCUAACACAUGCAAGCCGAGCGGUAGAGAUCUUUCGGGAUCUUGAGAGCGGCGUACGGGUGCGGAACACGUGUGCAACCUGCCUUUAUCUGGGGGAUAGCCUUUCGAAAGGAAGAUUAAUACCCCAUAAUAUAUUAAGUGGCAUCAUUUGAUAUUGAAAACUCCGGUGGAUAGAGAUGGGCACGCGCAAGAUUAGAUAGUUGGUGAGGUAACGGCUCACCAAGUCAGCGAUCUUUAGGGGGCCUGAGAGGGUGAUCCCCCACACUGGUACUGAGACACGGACCAGACUCCUACGGGAGGCAGCAGUGAGGAAUAUUGGACAAUGGGUGAGAGCCUGAUCCAGCCAUCCCGCGUGAAGGACGACGGCCCUAUGGGUUGUAAACUUCUUUUGUAUAGGGAUAAACCUAGAUACGUGUAUCUAGCUGAAGGUACUAUACGAAUAAGCACCGGCUAACUCCGUGCCAGCAGCCGCGGUAAUACGGAGGGUGCAAGCGUUAUCCGGAUUUAUUGGGUUUAAAGGGUCCGUAGGCGGAUUUGUAAGUCAGUGGUGAAAUCUCACAGCUUAACUGUGAAACUGCCAUUGAUACUGCAAGUCUUGAGUGUUGUUGAAGUAGCUGGAAUAAGUAGUGUAGCGGUGAAAUGCAUAGAUAUUACUUAGAACACCAAUUGCGAAGGCAGGUUACUAAGCAACAACUGACGCUGAUGGACGAAAGCGUGGGGAGCGAACAGGAUUAGAUACCCUGGUAGUCCAA
rnacentral:rRNA from 1 species